AUUGAACGCUGGCGGCAUGCCUUACACAUGCAAGUCGAACGGCAGCACGGGAGCUUGCUCCUGGUGGCGAGUGGCGAACGGGUGAGUAAUACAUCGGAACGUACCCUGAAGUGGGGGAUAACGUAGCGAAAGUUACGCUAAUACCGCAUAUUCUGUGAGCAGGAAAGAGGGGGAUCGCAAGACCUCUUGCUUUAGGAGCGGCCGAUGUCGGAUUAGCUAGUUGGUGAGGUAAAAGGCUCACCAAGGCGACGAUCCGUAGCGGGUCUGAGAGGAUGAUCCGCCACACUGGGACUGAGACACGGCCCAGACUCCUACGGGAGGCAGCAGUGGGGAAUUUUGGACAAUGGGCGCAAGCCUGAUCCAGCCAUGCCGCGUGAGUGAAGAAGGCCU
rnacentral:rRNA from 1 species